CGCUAGUUACGGUAGAGGCCGUUCUAGUUCUAUUUACACCGAGACGUGCAAGAUUGUUCUUGACACAGUUCGAGACGUGGAUUCUAGUUAUUGACACCACUACAGGUUCCAGUGCGAGCGUUGUGGCCGAGGAUCGAGGCAAGAGCCAGCAGCCUAGCUAGUGGACACCCGAGUACUAGUGGUAUACCAUUUUGGGUUCGUGUAUCAUCUAUUUUGAUGUACGGAGACAUAUAAAUGAAUGUAU